AUAUUACUCCCUCCGUCCGGAAAUACUUGUCAGAAAAAUGGAUGUAUUUUAGUUCUAGAUACAUCCAUUUUCAUCCAUUUCUGUGACAAGUAAUUCCGGAUGGAGGGAGUAUUAC
rnacentral:pre_miRNA from 1 species